rnacentral:rRNA from 1 species
UACGGGGGGGGCAAGCGUUGUUCGGAAUUACUGGGCGUAAAGGGCUCGUAGGCGGCCCACUAAGUCAGACGUGAAAUCCCUCGGCUUAACCGGGGAACUGCGUCUGAUACUGGAGGGCUUGAGUUUGGGAGAGGGACGCGGAAUUCCUGGUGUAGCGGUGGAAUGCGCAGAUAUCAGGAGGAACACCGGUGGCGAAGGCGGGGUCUCUGGGCGAGUAACUGACGCUGGAGGAGCGAAAGCCGUGGGGAGCGAACAGG